ACGGGUGAGUAACGCGUGGGAACGUGCCUUCCGGUUCGGAAUAACCCUGGGAAACUAGGGCUAAUACCGGAUACGCCCUUAUGGGGAAAGGUUUACUGCCGGAAGAUCGGCCCGCGUCUGAUUAGCUAGUUGGUGGGGUAACGGCCUACCAAGGCGACGAUCAGUAGCUGGUCUGAGAGGAUGAUCAGCCACACUGGGACUGAGACACGGCCCAGACUCCUACGGGAGGCAGCAGUGGGGAAUAUUGGACAAUGGGCGCAAGCCUGAUCCAGCCAUGCCGCGUGAGUGAUGAAGGCCUUAGGGUUGUAAAGCUCUUUUAUCCGGGACGAUAAUGACGGUACCGGAGGAAUAAGCCCCGGCUAACUUCGUGCCAGCAGCCGCGGUAAUACGAAGGGGGCUAGCGUUGCUCGGAAUCACUGGGCGUAAAGGGCGCGUAGGCGGCGUUUUAAGUCGGGGGUGAAAGCCCGUGGCUCAACCACAGAAUGGCCUUCGAUACUGGGACGCUUGAGUAUGGUAGAGGUUGGUGGAACUGCGAGUGUAGAGGUGAAAUUCGUAGA
rnacentral:rRNA from 1 species